UCGGAUUGAAGGCUGAAAUUCGCCUUCAUGAAGCCGGAAUUGCUAGUAAUGGCAGGUCAGCAUACUGCCGUGAAUACGUUCCCGGGCCUUGUACACACCGCCCGUCACACCAUGAGAGUUGGGGAUACCCGAAGCCUGUGAGCUAACUUUUAGAGGCAGCAGUCGAAGGUAGAAUCAAUGAUUGGGGUGAAGUCGUAACAAGGUAGC
rnacentral:rRNA from 1 species